GACGAACGCUGGCGGCGUGCUUAACACAUGCAAGUCGAACGGAAAGGCCCUGCUUUUGUGGGGUGCUCGAGUGGCGAACGGGUGAGUAACACGUGAGUAACCUGCCCUUGACUUUGGGAUAACUUCAGGAAACUGGGGCUAAUACCGGAUAGGAGCUCCUGCUGCAUGGUGGGGGUUGGAAAGUUUCGGCGGUGGGGGAUGGACUCGCGGCUUAUCAGCUUGUUGGUGGGGUAGUGGCUUACCAAGGCUUUGACGGGUAGCCGGCCUGAGAGGGUGACCGGCCACAUUGGGACUGAGAUACGGCCCAGACUCCUACGGGAGGCAGCAGUGGGGAAUAUUGCACAAUGGGCGGAAGCCUGAUGCAGCAACGCCGCGUGCGGGAUGACGGCCUUCGGGUUGUAAACCGCUUUCGCCUGUGACGAAGCGUGAGUGACGGUAAUGGGUAAAGAAGCACCGGCUAACUACGU
rnacentral:rRNA from 1 species